UGAGCGACCAACACUUUCACUUUCAGCUAUUAGAUAAGAAGACUGGAUAAAUUCUGAGCAGGUUAUUACAAGGCAGCAAAUAGAAAACCAUGCUCAGGAAGGUCUCUGCAGCCCUCUGAUGAAAGCCACCACCAUAAACCUCAAAUCCUGGACAAAGACAAAAUCGAUCAACCUUCUGAGCAUGCCCUAUGGCUUCUGAAUGAAGACUCUACAUUGUUUGACUUAUCCGGGAAUAGAACCGCUUGACAAUAUGGAAACGGUAACACAGGUGUGCUCGUUUACAGAUUCAGGGAACUUUCAAAGGACUCAGAGACAGGAGGAGAUAUUGAUUAAACACAUGAAGUCCAGCAACAUAUUACCAGGUCAGAGUCCCAGUUCAUCCUCUUACCGCAAGUGUAAUGAUGGACAAUUUCUACAACAUCUUUGUAAUUGUUUCCUCCUCUAUAAGGGAUAAUAUAGUAUUGACUUCCCAGGAUGCUAUAAGGAAUUCACAGGUAACACAUCUCUCGAAAUCCCAGUUAUGAGAAAGACACGUUAGAGUAUGCUGCAGUGUGGUCCCUUCAUUAAUUUAAGCAUAGAUAAUUACAAUGAUAAAAUUCUUUGAU